UACAGAGGGUGCGAGCGUUGUCCGGAAUCACUGGGCGUAAAGGGCGCGUAGGCGGCUCAGUAAGGUUGCGGUGAAAGCCCGGGGCUCAACCCCGGGUCGGCCGUGGCAACUGCUGGGCUGGAGCACUGUAGAGGCAGGUGGAAUUCCGAGUGUAGAGGUGAAAUUCGUAGAUAUUCGGAAGAACACCAGUGGCGAAGGCGGCUCACUGGCCCGGUACUGACGCUGAGGUGCGAAAGCGUGGGGAGCAAACAG
rnacentral:rRNA from 1 species